rnacentral:lncRNA from 1 species
UUUUGGUCUUUUGUGAGAACGGGUAAAAUUAUAAGUUUUGUUGAGAAUGACUUUUAGUGGUUAGUGAGAAUAGUUGUUUUACUAAGUUACUAGAGUAAAAUUAAGAUUUUACCGUUUAGUGACCGUUAUUAGUGAAUUACCGUUAGAGUGUAGAAACUUUUGAGUUGUGAAUAGAAGUGGGUUAAGUCCACUAGAAACUAAGUUAAGCCCAUUAAGGAG